rnacentral:rRNA from 1 species
GCACAAUCCGUGGAGGGCGGAGGUGUAAUGCGGAGGGUGCAAGUGUGAUGCGGAAUUGCGGGGGGUGCAGGGGGGGUAGGGUGUUUGUGAAGCGAGAUGUGAAAGCCCCGGGCGCAACCUGGGAACUGCGUUUCGAAAUGGCAAGCUAGAGUACAGGAGAGGGUGGCGGAAUUGCCGGUGGAGCGGUGAAAUGCGUAGUGAUGGGAAGGAUCAUCAGUGGCGAAGGCGGCCACCUGGACUGAUACUGACACUGAGGUGCGAAAGCGUGGGGAGCAAACAGGAUUAGAUACCCGUGUAGUC